UACAGAGGGUGCAAACGUUGUUCGGAAUUACUGGGCGUAAAGCGUGUGUAGGCGGCUUUGCAAGUCGGAUGUGAAAGCCCCGGGCUCAACCCGGGAAGUGCACUCGAUACUGCAGAGCUUGAGUGUCGGAGAGGUUGGUGGAAUUCUCGGUGUAGAGGUGAAAUUCGUAGAUAUCGAGAGGAACACCGGCGGCGAAGGCGGCCCACUGGAUCGGUACUGACGCUGAGGUGCGAAAGCGUGGGGAGCAAACAGG
rnacentral:rRNA from 1 species